AUGCAGGUAGCCAUCUUGUACCGUCGCUGGUCAUUCAGAGAGGUUUCCUUUCGGCUCCCGUCACCAUCCCAGGAGUUUCAGAGGACAGAGAUGUUUGGCCUUCGUUGUCAAAAAGCUUCGCCCACCCCGUCACUCUCCAACAGGAGAGAGAGGGUGGCCAAACUACCCUGUGAGAGAAAAGACCAGGAGAGGACAGGUGAUGGCCCCUGCCAGGAAAAGACAGAAAAAUGGCCUCAGCCACUUCCGGAGAUGAAGACUCGUGAGGACCAGCUAACGAUUUCUCCGGGAAAGGGGGCUUUUUCACCUACUCUUAUCGGCCACCCCUUGUGAGUUGUGU
ensembl:lncRNA